UCAUUCUUCAACUUAGAGCUGAUCCUUUUUCUUUUUCUACAACUUCUAACGCCGCCUCAAUCUUGCUUUCUCUUCCUUUUCUCUUCUUCCCAGCUUUGCCGCUUUCUGCUAUCCUCGGCUUCGUCGUUCUGUCCAGGUGAUUCCUUAUCCUCUUACUUUCGCCACCAAACAUUACCUUCUUAAUUAGGUGCUUCGGUGAAGUUUGGAGCCACCUAUUACCUUAGAUUUUGCGAGUUUCUUCACUCCUCCUGUUUGAGCCGCUAUUAGGCUCAACAUUCAGCACAUGUAGAGAGCAACAAAAUGUCACUCCUGAGGUCAUUUCUAUCCAAAACUUGACAUCCAACACAUAUACAGAACAACAAAGUGUCACUUCUGAGGUUGUUACAAAGAAAGGUUGGUAUUCAUUUUAUGCGACAAUAACUUCUCCUAUUGCUUCAUUGGAAUGUUAGACUAUACUAAGUUUUGACAGUACUUAAAACAUACAAGUCGGUUAAACAAAAACUCCCAUAAAAAAUUUAAUGUUAAUCGAUCUACUUAUGCAUGCUUAAAAGAUAUUCCCAAUUGUAAGCUUUGCAAUGCAAAAAGAUUUUAAUAUGAAUCGCCUAACUU